GGUUCCCCGUGUUUGGGAGCAGCAGCCAGGAGGCUGCCAGAGAUCCAGCUGCGCCCUGCAGCGCACAGAGGGACGCAGAGGGAACAGAGCAUCCUUACUGCCACGCAAAAGGACGGAGCCUGCGCGUCCGUGGAAUGGUGCUGGGCAAGGGGGGAAGCAGAAAGCCUGCACUGAAGCUGAUGCCAGUGGCCUUCCUCUGAAGCGCAGCCUUGC